ensembl:snRNA U6 U6 spliceosomal RNA
GUGCUCACUUCGGCAACACAUAUAGUAGAAUUGGAACAAUACAGGGAAGAUUAGCAUGGCCCCUGUGCAUGAAUGACCGGUAAGUUCCUGAAGCAUUCCAUAUUUUU